rnacentral:rRNA from 1 species
UACGAAGGGGGCUAGCGUUGUUCGGAAUCACUGGGCGUAAAGGGCGCGUAGGCGGCUUUAGUAAGUCGGGGGUGAAAGCCUGUGGCUCAACCACAGAAUUGCCUUCGAUACUGUAGAGCUUGAGACCGGAAGAGGUUAGUGGAACUGCGAGUGUAGAGGUGAAAUUCGUAGAUAUUCGCAAGAACACCAGUGGCGAAGGCGGCUGACUGGUCCGGUUCUGACGCUGAGGCGCGAAAAGCGUGGGGGAGCAAACAGGG